rnacentral:tRNA from 1 species
GAAAUAUUAAAAAUUAAGCUUCUAACUUAAAUUUAAAGUGUAAAUCAUUUAUAUUUCU